rnacentral:lncRNA from 1 species
AAACAUUUCACAAGUUUAAAAAUGGUAGUCAUCACUUUAAAAGGUUUAAACGCAUUUUUGCUCUGUGCCAGAUACGAUUUAACUUACCCAGUAAUUUUUGGCUACAUGUGUUUUAACAUUUUAUGUUGACUUUGAAACAUCAAGUUUUACACUGACUUUAAACAUAGAGUUUUAUGUUGACUUUUCAUCCCCUUGAGACAUGUCAUGAUAGUACUGUCCUUGAGCUCUUUUCUUAGACUGGAGGGCAUUCUCACCAAUUCCCCACCCAAGCAUUGUCUCGCUUCCUUUCGGGACCUCCCAGACCCCUUUGAUUUCUCCCUCAUGGGAACGCCAGUAUUUUCACUCAUUUUAGCACAUUUUACCUGACUUUGAAUUUGACUCGCUUUCCAUGAAGAAUCAGCAAGCUCCUUGAGGCCCCAAGACCCUCUUAUGUUCAGUCUGGCAAAAGAGCUAGCAUUCCUCAUCCCAACCGCACUCCCGCAGCAGAUGUAACUAAUCUACCACAUUCUAUGCCCACUGCACUCCCAUAGCAGACAUAACUAAUCUACCACAUUCCUUUCUCCCAGUGAGCUUGGAAGUGACCUCAGAAUCCCCCCUCAGAGCGUCCAGGGCUGCGACAGCCAAUUGAAUAGAUUGGGCAUAGAUGAAACCUCUCUGCAUCCCUGCCUAGACUUCUUUUGUAGCUUCCAAAGUACCAGUGUUGUUCCCAGGGGAGACUCUGAAGGAACCAGCAUCAUCUUGAAAACCCAGAAAUGAUAAAAGUUUUAGCUGAUUGGACCUGGGAACCUCCAAGGCAGCCCUGUGGGAGCUGCAGAGGCCCUCAGGGGGCCCCAGAGGAAGACCCUGCCUGCUCAACGGGAGGGUGGCUCCAGAGUGACGCCAGGGGACCGAGUGUCAGCCGGGAAGGGACCAUAGGAAAACCCAUGAGUCAGCAGAAGCCUUGAGGCAGACAGAUGGAGAAGAUGGGGCGAGAGAAGCCGCUGCAGGUAAACAGGGACCUGGGUAAACUGAGUCAUGUGUCAGGCAGACACGUGCCAGGUGGGACCCAGCACGUGCCCACCUGCUUCUGAGGGAUCCAGAAUCAUCUCCCUGCUGCUGUGGGAUCCAGAACAAUCUUCCUGUUCUCCUUGAGGUUCCAUUGUCUUGAUACCUGGAGACCCUGUGUUCCUUUACUUCCAGGGUGUCUGGCCUGCCAAGAAUAACAUUUGUCUCUACCCCUCGCGAUUUGGAAAGGUUGAAACAAGACUUACCUUGCAGGAUCCUUAGGAAAAUUGAUCA